rnacentral:lncRNA from 1 species
GAUCAUGUGCGCACGCCGGCAUAUGGUGAGCACUCUCAAAUCCUUCAUUCUCUUCCUCGUUUUGCAGUUUUGUAAUGAUUUGUAAGAGUCUCUGAUAUGUAGGUCAUCGAAUUUGUCGAUUUCGCAGUCAUUGCUAGGGUUUUGCUUUGUUUGUCUGAAAUAAAAGAGGGUUCUUUGCUCUAUUUUUUGAUUUUGCAGAGAAGUACAAUUAUGACUACCCAUGCAGUCUAGGUAUAAAUCAUGGUGGGUUUUUCGUUGGGCAAAGUAACUACAGGAGUUAUUGCAAUGGAAAAACUGCUUGGUAUGAUUAUGUGUUCUCUGCAAAAUUGACCAUGUCUGAAUUGGAAAGAAUAGUUGAAGAUCUAGGCUAUGAGACGGUAGGUAAAUUGGAUGUGUAUUGGUGUUUGCCAGGGUUACAAGUUAGCACUGGUGGACUUAGGAAAAUGAUAUCUCAGGAGGCUUGUGACAAUAUUAGUGCUUGUGUUGUAUUUGGACAUAAGGAAAUUCAGCUAUACCUUGACCAUGAUGAGAGCUACAGAAGCAUAGAUUGGGAUGAUGUUGUGGUCUUUCCUGUUUCUGAUUUACCUCCUGCGAUCAGUCCUAGGAAAGUAAAAGAGGAGAAAUUUGUAGAGAGAAUGACUGAGCAUAAUAGGAUUGAGGAGCAUGGAAAUGACAAUGUAGAUGAGGCUGUGCACUCUAUGGCAAAGGAGCAAGGAAAUGACAAUUCAAAGGUAAAUGUGCAAUAUGAGGAUGUGCAAAACAUGGAAGAGGGGCAAGCUGAUGAUCAAUUUAGUGAGGAAGAAAUUGAGCAGUAUAUGGCAGAUGUUGAGGUUAACUAUGAGGAAGUUGUUGUAGAAGAGGAUGAAGAAGCAGCUAUGUAUGAUGAAGCUGUUAUGGAAGAGGAAGCAUAUAUGGAAGAGGAAGCAUAUAUGGAAGAGGAAGAUGCUCAGUCAAAUGUAGAUGAUGGGAGUAUUUCUCAUGCUGGAAGAGGAGGUAGUGAUUCAGACAAUGAGGAUGCUUUAGUGGACAGUGACUAUGUUAUAUCUGAUGGAGAUGCAGAUUUUUUGGAAGAUCAGAUUGAAGAGGUGGAAGUAGAUAUAAAAGGAAAGAAAGUUGCAGAUGUUGAAGCUUAUUCAGAUGAGGAAGAUCUUCAAUGCCAGAUUCAGAUGAAGAUGAGUUGAAACACAACUUCAAGACAUUCAGGCCAGAGGACAUGCAUGACCCCGUGGUCAAAGUUAGACAAUUAUUCCAGUCACCAGAGAUGUUGAGGAAAGCCAUUAGAGAAUACAUCUACAAGAACAGAGUUGAUAUCUCACUGCCAAUAAAUGAUGGGAAAAGGAUUUCAGCCAGGUGUCAAAAUGGUUGUCCAUGGUACUUAUGGGCAUCUCAUGAUAGCAGGACCAAGUGCAUGAUGAUCAAGAAGAUGAACGCUGAGCAUACUUGUUGUAAGAAGUGGAAAGUAAAGGCUUUCACCUCUAGGUUUCUAUCAGAGAAGUAUACUGAGCAUUUAAGGCCUGAUGAUCACAUGAAUAUGAGGAACUUCACCAAAAUUGUCCAAAAGGAUUGGAACAUGACACCCAGCAGAAGCAAAUUACAGAGAGCUAGAAGAUUAGCAAUGGAUGUUAUACAUGGAGAUGAAGAACAACAGUUCAAUUUGCUGUGGGACUAUGCCAAUGAAGUUAGAAGAAGUAAUCCUGGUAGCACCUUUUAUGUCUCACUUGACAAUGAAGAGAGAUUUAAAAGGUGCUAUUUCAGUUUUGAUGCUUGUAAAAGAGGAUUUUUAGAAGGAUGUAGACCUGUGAUUUGUCUUGAUGGCUGCCAUAUCAAGACCAGGUAUGGUGGUGUUCUACUGAGUGAUGUUGGCAUGGACCCAAAUGAUUGUAUCUAUCCAUUGGCCUUUGCUUAUGUUUAAGUGGAAGACACCCACACAUGGACAGGUUUCUUAGGGCUGUCAAGCAAGACCUUGCAAUUGUGAACACUGACCCCUGGACAAUUGUGUCUGACAGGCAAAAGGUAAAUUUUCAGUCCAGUUACUAUUCACUUUAAAUGCAUUUUCAGUUCAGUUACUGUUCACUUUCACUGUAUUUUCAGUUUCGAUGUGAGUGCAAUUAAGGAAAUGUAGUUUCAGUUAGAAUCUAGUGCACUUUCAGUCAAGUUUCAGUUUACUUUCAGCUAAUAUGCAAACAUAUUUACAGGGACUAAUCAAUGCAGUAGAAGCCUUGUUUCCUCAAUCAGCCCACAUGUUUUGUUAGGCACCUAUGGCAAUUUCACAAGAGCUGGUCAUAGAGGUGAUGUGCUAAAAAAAACAGUUGUGGAAGUGUGUUAGAAGCACAACUGUUACUACUUGGGAAGAGAGCAUGCAGGAGAUGAAGGUUUUGAGUAAGAGGGCAUAUGAUUGACUAUAUGACCUAGAUCCCUACACUUGGGUGAGAGCAUUUCAACCAGACCUUCCAAAGUGUGACAUUCUAUUGAAUAACAACUGUGAGGUCUUUAAUAAGUAAGUUAGCUAAUCUGUGUCAAUAUUUAUAUGGCCAAUGUUUACAUGAGUAGUGAGCUCAUGUGUCUAGCUAUGCAAUGUAGGUACAUUCUAGAAGCAAGAGAGUUUCCAGUCCUCUCUAUGAUAGACAGGAUUAAGGCACAACUAACCACCAGGAUGGUUACAAAAAAUGAAGAAUUGCUGAGCUGGACUUAUCCAAUCUACCCAAAGAUUAAGAACGGGCUUGACAAGAACACAGAAUUAGCUAACACAUGCUAUGCUGAAUUAGCUGGAGAUGGCAUAUAUUCUGUGGAGGACAGAGGCUACACUUACAUCGUGGACAUACAUGUGGAGAGUUGCAGCUAUAGAAGAUGGAAUUUAACUGGAAUUCCAUGUUGCAGGAGAGAAAGAAUUUCCCCUAUUGAGCUGGUGUACAAGUGUUAUUCUAUUGAUUAUUACCACAAGGCAUACUCUCAUUUCAUUGUGCCUUGCAGAGAUAGAAGAGAGUGGAAAAAAAAUGAAUGGAUGCCCUAUUGCACCACCUCUUUAUGUCAAAAAAGUUGGAAACCUUGGUCAUAACAGAAGGAGGGCUCCUGAAGAAAUUGCAGAUGGCAGAGGUGGAACCAGAAUGACAAGACAUGGUGUGGUUAUUCACUAUGGGCACUACAAACUACCAGGACACAAUAGGAGUUCAUGUUCCGAUCUUAAAGCUGGCAUACCACCAUAUGUUCCUCCCCCAAAGCAACAAGUGAGGAUAAGGAGAAGGGCGGAACCAACUACUGAGGAAGAGCAACAGACACAGGAAAAUCAUGAGGAAGAGGCAGAGGCAGCAGCAAAUGCUGGAGAACAAACACAGGCAAAUCAUGAGGAAGAGGCAGAGGCAGCAACAAAUGCUGAAGAAUAGACACGGGAACAAGAGUUGCAGGAUUUCAUUGACCAAGUUCCUCUCUCUGCUGUGUACAAUCAUGAUAUGCUCAAUGAAAUGAUGUUGCAGGUACAACCCUUUUCUUUUCUCCUUGUUCCUCUCUUUGUAGAAUUUCAACUAUUUUAUUAAGUACUACUGCUGCAAUGUAUGGUUCAUCCUCUCUCUGUAGUCUUUAGCUGCUGCAAUUGACAUUGUGAUAUUUCUACAGAGACCAAUGCCAAGAACAACUACUUCUGCUCCUAGGCCAUUGCCAGAUAGCUCUUUUAUCACUGCUGCUAGAGAUGCACUUGGCACAGGAAGAGCAAGCACCUCAACAGCAGUAGGGGACCUUGCUAUGAAAGCUGCAUCUAUGAGAAUUGCCAGGAGAGAAGUAGAGAAGGCCAGGAAAGAAGCAGAGAGGACAAAGAAGAGAGCAGAAGCAGUAGCAAAGAAAUAAGAAGCGAAGGCAAGGAAGAGAGUAGAAGCAAUAGCAAAGAAAGAAGAGAAGGCAAGAAAAGCACAACAAAUGGCAGCAGAGGUAGAAGAAAGAAGGAAGGCUGCAAUUGCCAGGAGGGAAGCUCUUCAACAAGCAAAGCAGAAAGAGGCAGAGGAGAAGCUGGCAGCUGCACAAGGAAAGAAGCAGGGAGCAGCAGCAAAGAGGGUUGCUUCUGCACAAGCAAAGAAGUAGGCAGCAGCAGCAAAGAAGCCCAAGAGGGUCAGCAUGUUUGAUGAAUUUAGAUGAAUGUUCAUUGUCCUCUUUACUUGCUUAAGUAUGCUGAUGUAUAGAACUAUGAUCUAUUCUCAUUUUGUUGCUCAGAUGGAGCAUGUAGUUGCUAAACAAACUACUGGUGAUCUUCAUUUUGUUGCUUAGAUGGAACAUGUAAUGCUUCUAGAUUGGAUAUUUAUAUGUCAUCAAGCAUGUUAAUCAUGUUAUAAUGCUUAUGAUUAUGCUCAUGUGCCAAAUUCUG